AGUCGGUUCCAAGGGUUGGGCUGUUCGCCCAUUAAAGCGGUACGCGAGCUGGGUUCAGAACGUCGUGAGACAGUUUGGUCCCUAUCUGUUGUGGGCGUUGGAAAAUUGAAAAGAGCUGUUCCUAGUACGAGAGGACCGGAAUGGAUGCACCUCUGGUGCUCCUGUUGUCACGCCAGUGGCAUAGCAGGGUAGCUAUGUGCAGAAAGGAUAAUCGCUGAAGGCAUCUAAGCGAGAAGCCUCCUUUAAGAUGAAUUUUCCCAUUCAUAAGAUGUAAGAUCCCAUGUAGACCACAUGGUUGAUAGGAUGGAUGUGUAAGUGCUGUGAGGCAUUAAGCUAACCAUUACUAAUAGAUCGAGAGAAUU
rnacentral:rRNA from 1 species